AGAGUUUGCUCCUGGCUCAGGACGAACGCUGGCGGCGUGGAUUAGGCAUGCAAGUCGAACGGUAUGGUGCUUUCGGGCAUCAGAGAGUGGCGAACGGGUGAGUAACACGUAGGUUAUCUACCCUCAAGACGGGGACAACCCAGGGAAACUUGGGCUAAUACCGGAUGAAAGCAACCGUGAGGUUGUUUAAAAGAUGGCUUUAAGCUGUCGCUUGGGGAUGAGCCUGCGUCCUAUUAGUUAGUUGGUGAGGUAACGGCUCCCCAAGGCAAUGAUAGGUAGGCGGCCUUAACGGGUGGUCGCCCACACUGGGAUUGAGAAACGGCCCAGACUCCUACGGGAGGCAGCAGUCGAGAAUAGUCUACAAUGGCCGAAAGGCUGAUAGUGCGACGCCGCGUGAACGAGGAAUCCCUUCGGGGUGUAAAGUUCUUUUAUAUGUGAGCAGUGCCGGCUAUAUUAAUAGUAUAGUUGGAGAGAUAUUAGCAUAUGAAUAAGCAACGGCUAACUCCGUGCCAGCAGCCGCGGUAACACGGGGGUUGCAAGCGUUGUCCGGAAUUACUAGGCGUAAAGGGCAGGCAGGCGGACCUGCAAGUUUUCUGUUAAAGACGUCAGCUCAACUGGCGCACGGCAGGAGAUACUGCAGGUCUUGAAUGCGGUUGGGGAAGACAGAAUUCCUGGUGUAGCGGUGGAAUGCGCAGAGAUCAGGAGGAAUACCAAAGGCGAAGGCAGUCUUCCAAGCCGUUAUUGACGCUGAACUGCGAAGGUGUGGGUAUCAAACAAAAUUAGAUACCCUGGUAGUCCACACAGUA
rnacentral:rRNA from 1 species